rnacentral:rRNA from 1 species
GCAGCAGGCGCGAAACUUACCCACUCGAGACUUUCGGAGGUGGUAAUGACCAGUUACAUGUCAACCUUUUUGGUUGUUUGUAUAGGAUUGCACUUUUCCAGUGCAGUGAAACCUAGCAGAGGGCCAGUCUGGUGCCAGCAGCUGCGGUAAUUCCAGCUCUGCGAGUUUGCUCCCAUAUUGUUGCAGUUAAAACGCUCGUAGUCAGAACUGCCUGCAAAGGCGUACGAACAUCUGUUCGUUCACUGUGAACAAAUCAGGACGCUUAGUGUAUGGUUUUAGGAAUGACUUAGCGCAGUAUGAUAUCUUUACCUUUGGUAAGAUCAAUGAGAGCCACCGGGGGUAGAUCUAUUUCAUGGCGAACGGUGGAAUGUUUUGACCCAUGAGAGAGAAACGAAGGCGAAAGCAUCUACCUAGAGGGUUUCUGUCGAUCAAGGGCGAGAGUAGGAGUAUCCAACCGGAUCAGAGACCCGGGUAGUUCCUACCUUAAACGAUGCCGACAGGGGCUUGUCCUUUUAUGAGGGCAGGACCUUAGGAGAAAUCAUAGUUCUUGGGCUCUGGGGGAACUACGACCGCAAGGCUGAAACUUGAAGGAAUUGACGGAAGGGCACACCAGGGGUGGAGCUUGUGGCUUAAUUUGAAUCAACACGGGGAAACUUACCAGGACCAGAUGUUUUUAAUGACUGACAGGCUUCGGGUCUUUCAGGAUAUGACUUUUGGUGGUGCAUGGCCGUUGGUGGUGCGUGGGUUGACCUGUCAAGCGUUGAUUCAGAUAACGAGCGAGAUUAUCGCCAAUUAAAUACUCGUUUCUGUUUACAGAGAUAGAGUUCUAAUUGGGACUCCCUGCGUAUCAAGCAGGAGGAAGAGGGUAGCAAUAACAGGUCCGUGAUGUCC